rnacentral:rRNA from 1 species
UGGGGAAUUUUGCACAAUGGGGGAAACCCUGAUGCAGCGACGCCGCGUGAUUUAGAAGGCCUUCGGGUUGUAAAAAUCUUUUCUAUGGGAAGAAAAUGACAGUACCAUAGGAAUAAGGACCGGCUAAUUACGUGCCAGCAGCCGCGGUAAUACGUAAGGUCCGAGCGUUGUCCGGAAUCAUUGGGCGUAAAGGGUACGUAGGCGGGUAAGCAAGUUAGAAGUGAAAUCCUGUAGCUCAACUACAGUAAGCUUUUAAAACUGCUCAUCUUGAGAUAUGGAAGGGAAAGUGGAAUUCCUAGUGUAGUGGUGAAAUACGUAGAUAUUAGGAGGAAUACCAGUAGCGAAGGCGACUUUCUGGACACAAACUGACGCUGAGGUACGAAAGCGUGGGGAGCAAACAGG